rnacentral:rRNA from 1 species
CAGCAGCCGCGGGAAUACGUAGGUGGCAAGCGUUGUCCGGAAUUAUUGGGCGUAAAGGGCUCGCAGGCGGUUUCUUAAGUCUGAUGUGAAAGCCCCCGGCUCAACCGGGGAGGGUCAUUGGAAACUGGGAAACUUGAGUGCAGAAGAGGAGAGUGGAAUUCCACGUGUAGCGGUGAGAUGCGUAGAGAUGUGGAGGAACACCAGUGGCGAAGGCGACUCUCUGGUCUGUAACUGACGCUGAGGAGCGAAAGCGUGGGGAGCGAACAGGAUUAGAGACCCCCGUAGUCCCUGUCUCUUAUAC